GAUGAACGCUGGCGGCGUGCUUAACACAUGCAAGUCGAACGAGAAUCUACUGAAAGAGUUUUCGGACAAUGGAAGUAGAGGAAAGUGGCGGACGGGUGAGUAACGCGUGAGGAACCUGCCUUGAAGAGGGGACGAACAGUUGGAAACGACUGCUAAUACCGCAUGACGCAUAGAGGUCGCAUGAUCUUUAUGCCAAAGAUUUAUCGCUUCAAGAUGGCCUCGCGUCUGAUUAGCUAGUUGGCGGGGUAACGGCCCACCAAGGCGACGAUCAGUAGCCGGACUGAGAGGUUGACCGGCCACAUUGGGACUGAGAUACGGCCCAGACUCCUACGGGAGGCAGCAGUGGGGAAUAUUGCACAAAUGGGGGGAAACGUACUGAUGCAGCGACGCCGCGUGAGUGAAGAAGUAAGUUCGCUAUGUAAAGCUCUAUCAGCAGGGAAGAUAGUGACGGUACCUGACUAAGAAGCACCGGCU
rnacentral:rRNA from 1 species